UACGGGGGGGGUAAGCGUUGUUCGGAAUUACUGGGCGUAAAGGGCGCGUAGGCGGCCUACUAAGUCGGACGUGAAAUCCCUCGGCUCAACCGGGGAACUGCGUCCGAUACUGGUGGGCUCGAAUCCGGGAGAGGGAUGUGGAAUUCCAGGUGUAGCGGUGAAAUGCGUAGAUAUCUGGAGGAACACCGGUGGCGAAGGCGGCAUCCUGGACCGGUAUUGACGCUGAUGCGCGAAAGCCAGGGGAGCAAACGGG
rnacentral:rRNA from 1 species